AAGGUCUUCUGAUUGUAAAGUUCUUUUAUUUAGGAAAAAAAGCGCGCUAGGAAAUGAGCGCGCCUUGAUGGUACUAAUUGAAUAAGUGACAGCUAACUAUGUGCCAGCAGCUGCGGUAAAACAUAGGUCACAAGCAUUAUCCGGAUUUAUUGGGCGUAA
rnacentral:rRNA from 1 species